UAAUUGUCAGUUGGGGUCAUG
rnacentral:piRNA from 1 species